UUUUUUUUUGUGAGUAGAAUUAACGGAUCAAGAUCUUUUUCCUCACCUUUGUCCUUUGCCUGGUUGCUUGGUCCCUUACAAAGUCAAACACUUUAGAAAUAUUACAAGCUGAAAAAAAAUAGGGAUAAUUUCUUGUAUUGAGUAAAACAAAAAGCAACAAGAGCAAAUUAGAUCAGAAAAACUUAGUCAAAUUUUAUUAAAAAAAACAAAACAGACAAAUUUGACAUGUUAUCUUUUUACCAUGAUGCAGUUAUUAGUCUUGUUUUGCAACGAUAAAUAAGAGAUUGGAUCUCCUUUUUUGUAAGAGUCAUCUGAUUUCAUGAAAAGUGGCUCUGUCUACACUGUAAUGAUGUUGCCAAUUUGCACUUAGAUCAUGUCGGUAAGAUGUUAUAUUACCUUUGAGAGUGUAAUUACACUUGUCAGAUAUUUCAGAGUCUUUGUAGAAGCUGUGAAUGCCUGAGCUGUGUGGCGUGCAGAAUUAAUCACUAAAGAAUGAACACAUAGUGCUACUCUGCAAAGACACUAGGGACAUCUGUCAUUCAGAUGAGGAUGAAUGUAGGUCACCGUUUCUAGUGUCUUUGCUUAGCAGGGGCCUGAUUAAAGCAGCAACCUAUGGCCUAAGAUCUCUGCCCAGCCAUCUCUGCCAAGUUACACAACAUUUGACUUUUUUUUUUUUUUUUUCAGCUCUGAAGGCUGCGUGAUCCUAUAUCCCCCUGUCACCCUGAAUCCUUGCGCCGCGCCUCCUCAUCUACCACUUAAAAAAGCAGAGAUUGGAUUACCCAACUGUCAAUCAAUCAUCGGGGUGAUGAUACAAGCCCACCAUGAAACAUCCCAAACAGAUGGCCAGCCACUACCACACGCUUGCACCCCCACCCGGCCCUAACCCGGACCUAGUCCCUUGGUAAGAGACUGUAAGCUUCUUAGAUUUUUUUUCAUGCUUCUCACUAAUUUAGGUCUUUUCAUCAAAGCGAUCGUUGUGAUAUUAUUUGUACCUACAAUAACACUCAUGAUGCCUCCCUGUGCUCCCAAGUCAACACCUCUCAUUCUCUCAAUUUACAACAUUUAAUACUUCUGCAACAGAUGAGAAAUGUGCGAAAAUGUCUUAAUGAGUUCAUUAAUCCGUGGGUGUGCUUAAGACAAUAGCAUGCCAGGGGGCUGAGCGAUGGGUGUAUUUUAGGGCAGGGCAGCGACCCCCGACACCCAGGCCGGCAGGCAGCGGAGGAGGAGGCUGAGCCAGAGCAGGUGUCUCUGCUGACAUCUGCUUCAGUUCACUGGGGAAACACAAGCACCCUGCAGCUACAGCACUGACAAUGCCACUGAAGUGCCCAGGCUCCGUCUAAACAAGGUAGACUUUUUUCCACUUCUUCUUACAGCGCUGGGAUCAGCACUUUAGAAGCUGAUCCCUCAUUUGUACCGUUUUUAAAGGAUUUCUAUUUGAGGUUUUUCAGACAUUUAACAGUGUUUGCCCUUUUUCUGAUGGAGAUAUUUUACCGCAUUUGAUAUUUUGAUACCGCAUAUUUCAUACUUGGUUGUUCACUCAUUGGUCUGUCUUGCUUUUGACACUUUUCUGCGUUCCAUGUUUUUUUGCAAUGUGGCGGCUUAAUCCAUGAAAAAAAAAAGAGGCAUUUUUUAUGUCACAUAUUAAGAGGAUUCGACCCAGAUCUCUUACAAACAUUAAAGGAAGAAGUCUUUGGAUGUUCAGUCUCAUGCAAUAUUGAUGCUGUCAUGUUUACUCAUCAACCCACUUUCCUCUGAAUCCAAUCAGGCUGACAAGACAAACCCACAAGGCUGUUGAUUCAGAGGCGCUAUCGAUCCAAGUUUGCGUUCCACUGACCUGAGUGCAUUUUUAAAGACUUUGUUGUGUAAUCAAAGGCUCUGUGGAUCCCCUCUCUCCUCCCUGACCUGUGCUUAGCAGAUAUAGCAGAUGUCGCCUAUAUUUUGUUCUCGCAGCUUCUAUAUACAGCACUGACAGGCUUUUUCAUUAAAUUGGAUGUUUGCACUAAUCGGACAUUGAUUCUGCUGUGAGCUUCUCAAACAAUAUCUUAUUAUAGGAUAAAAUAUGAC
rnacentral:lncRNA from 1 species